AGCUCGGUGGUCUAGUAGUUAUGACACCAGACUAAUUAUCUGGAGGUUGUGGGUUCAAUUCCCACCUGAAUUU